GCGCUCCCUUCGGCAUCACAUAUACUAAAAUUGGAACGACAGAGAAGAUCAGCAUGGCCCCUGUACAAGGAUGACACGCAAAUUCAUGAAGCCUUCCAUAUUUUU
rnacentral:snRNA from 1 species